GACAGAGGGUGCAAGCGUUGUUCGGAAUCAUUGGGCGUAAAGGGCGCGUAGGCGGUUUUGCAAGUCGAAUGUGAAAGCCCAGGGCUCAACCUUGGAAGUGCAUCCGAAACUGUGAAACUUGAAUCCUGGAGAGGGUGGUGGAAUUCCCAGUGUAGAGGUGAAAUUCGUAGAUAUUGGGAGGAACACCGGUGGCGAAGGCGACCACCUGGACAGAGAUUGACGCUGAGGCGCGAGAGCGUGGGGAGCAAACAGG
rnacentral:rRNA from 1 species